GACGAACGCUGGCGGCGUGCCUAACACAUGCAAGUCGAACGGAACUGUUUUGAAAGAUUUCUUCGGAAUGAAUUUGAUUUAGUUUAGUGGCGGACGGGUGAGUAACGCGUGAGUAACCUGCCUUCAAGAGGGGGAUAACAUUCUGAAAAGAAUGCUAAUACCGCAUGACAUAUCGGAACCACAUGGUUUUGAUAUCAAAGAUUUUAUCGCUUGAAGAUGGACUCGCGUCCGAUUAGUUAGUUGGUGAGGUAACGGCUCACCAAGACCGCGAUCGGUAGCCGGACUGAGAGGUUGAACGGCCACAUUGGGACUGAGACACGGCCCAGACUCCUACGGGAGGCAGCAGUGGGGGAUAUUGCGCAAUGGGGGCAACCCUGACGCAGCAACGCCGCGUGAAGGAUGAAGGUUUUCGGAUUGUAAACUUCUUUUAUUAAGGACGAAGAUUGACGGUACUUAAUGAAUAAGCUCCGGCUAACUA
rnacentral:rRNA from 1 species